ACCUUGUUGGCAUCCAUCGAUCCCUCUCUAUUUCUCUCACCUCACUUCCACGCGUGUGGUAGCACCAGGCCCUUGCUGUGCAACCCGUGAAUCUGUCUAUCGCUCCUCUGCCUCUCCUCUAUGCGCUCUCAAGCACACGGACAUGGAGCCCAACGGACCGGAUCCAGCCUGCCUGUCGCCUCCACCACCGGGAACAAUGGCAACCUCCGCCGAGAUCUAGGUGGGGAGGCCAAGGUUCUCAACGACACGUGCUCCUUCCCCAGGCCUCCGACGAGAGGUGGUCACGCCCUCCUCCUGCGUGGGGAUCGCGCCGGCUCCUUCUCAUCCCGCCGCGCAUUGCUCCUUCAUGGGCUCGUCUGCCACAGGCUGCUCCUGCUGUCCUCCUUUCCUCCUCUUUUACGCAGCCGAGGCAGACGACGAGCUGCAAGACCUUCACAAGCAUAUGGAGCAAGCAUGGAGCCGUGGAUGGACGAGGUCCUUGGCUCCCAUUCCUCCUUGUCGUCUCAUCGCCAGUGUCAAUGGAUCCUCUCUGGUGUAGGAGGAAAAACAAACCGGCGUUGGAAGUGUGAUGUUACCACAUGGCACGCCGUGUUAUUCAUUCAGGUGCAAGCACGUCUGCAUCUUCUUCAUACCUUUUGUUCGGCUCUUGGUUAGUACACUAGUAUACGGAAGUACUAGUGUUUUGUUUCCACGCCUCUGACUUAGUGCAGGUCACACUUUUGAAACAUUUUUGUAAAUAAAUAUUUGAUCAAACUUUGUGGUUGACUUAGAGUUAUUCUUGUAAAUUCAGUAUUUAAUCCCAUCAUUUAAACUAAAUAAACGUAUAUUUUCUGGCUU